rnacentral:rRNA from 1 species
UACGAGGGGCCCAAACGUUAUUCGGAUUUACUGGGCUUAAAGAGUUCGUAGGCGGCGCGGAAAGUAGGGUGUGAAAGCCCUCGGCUCAACCGAGGAAUUGCGCUCUAAACUACCGUGCUUGAGGAAGCUAGAGGUGAGCGGAACUGAUGGUGGAGCGGUGAAAUGCGUUGAUAUCAUCAGGAACACCGGAGGCGAAGGCGGCUCACUGGGGCUUUUCUGACGCUGAGGAACGAAAGCCAGGGGAGCAAACGGG